GGGGAAUAUUGCACAAUGGGCGCAAGCCUGAUGCAGCGACGCCGCGUGGGGGAUGACGGCCUUCGGGUUGUAAACUCCUUUCGCUAGGGACGAAGCUUUUUGUGACGGUACCUAGAUAAGAAGCACCGGCUAACUACGUGCCAGCAGCCGCGGUAAUACGUAGGGUGCGAGCGUUGUCCGGAAUUACUGGGCGUAAAGGGCUCGUAGGUGGUUUGUCGCGUCGUCUGUGAAAUUCCGGGGCUUAACUCCGGGCGUGCAGGCGAUACGGGCAUAACUUGAGUACUGUAGGGGUAACUGGAAUUCCUGGUGUAGCGGUGAAAUGCGCAGAUAUCAGGAGGAACACCGAUGGCGAAGGCAGGUUACUGGGCAGUUACUGACGCUGAGGAGCAAAAGCAUGGGUAGCGAACAGGAUUAGAUACCCUGGUAGUCCAUGCCGUAAACGGUGGGCGCUAGGUGUGAGGGUCUUUUCACGACUUUCGUGCCGUAGCUAACGCAUUAAGCGCCCCGCCUGGGGAGUACGGCCGCAAGGCUA
rnacentral:rRNA from 1 species